rnacentral:lncRNA from 1 species
UUUUGUGCUACUAGUUACACGUAUACUAUAUUCUUAUACCUCUCUUCUCGCGUAGAUCUAAAUGGCUGGAUUCCAUCAUGGCGACCCGUACUUUCCCAAUGAAGGCAAUGCCGGGUGGAUCGAUGAAGAGCCCGAAGAUGAGCAUCCAAUCCCUUUGGAUGAUCACCUCGCAGAAGGCUUUUCGGAUGGAUCUGACUCCGAGCCUGAAGUCAACAACCUACCGCUUGUAGGUCAAGCCCCGAACAACAACCCUCGACCAGCGUUUCCAGGUCCUACUCCCAUGUGGGCAAACAAUCUGAAUCGCUGGAGUGAUGAGCAGGGUCAGCCCUUACCAUACUUUGGGGACCGAACCUUUUACAACAUCAGCGAUGGUGGCUCUGCUGACAGAGCUCUGCCGGUGAUCAUCCGCAGAAUAGCUCGUAAUGUCGAGCAAGGUCGAGCAGCCAUCGACCGGGUCAUGGAGAUUGAUGCCAAUUCAGGUGUCAAUACAGUCCGCAUUCGCCGUCUCGAAGAAGACAUGGAACGGACCCGGAGAACCAACGAAACUCUGCAGCAACAGCUGGCUGCCUCCCGUGCUGAAGUCUUAGAACUUCGAGCUCGUCAGAGAGCUCAGGACCGACACCUUCAAGAGGUGUUUCGCCAAGUGUCCGACCUCAGGGAUCGCCCGAGGAAUUCCCAUCGCCAUUAGAUGAUGUCUAGUACAUCUCUGUCUUUUGAUUUAGGGAUAGCCUUGAACUUAUGUGCUCUAAGUGGCACUUGUCUGUAAAAUAUUCCUAACUUUCGGUACUUUAAUUAGGAAUCUAGGACUGCCAGUAUUGUCCUUAUGGUAUGAUGUAAGACCUACGGAUAGGUCGAUUUUUCCUUGAACUUGUUACAUCAGUAAUACCUGUGCUAUUGAAAUCUAUUAUGUGGGAAAAAUUUAUACACUUGUGUAUUCCUACUAAUAUUUNCAAAUGGCUGGAUUUCAUCAUGGUGACCCGUACUUCCCCAAAUGAAGGCAAUGUCGGGUGGAUCGAUGAAGAGCCUGAAGAUGAGCAUCCAAUCCCUUUGGAUGAUCACCUCGCAGAAGGCUUUUCAGAUGGAUCUGACUCCGAGCCUGAAGUCAACAACCUACCGCUUAUAGGUCAAGCCCUGAACGACAACCCUCGACCAGCGUUUCCAGGCCCUACUCCCAUGUGGGCAAACAAUCUGAAUCGCUGGAGUGAUGAGCAGGGUCAGCCCUUACCAUACUUUGGGGACCGAACCUUCUACAACAUCAGCGAUGGUGGCUCUGCUGACAGAGCUCUGCCGGUNNNN